GUCUUGCCGUGUUUGUAUCGUAUCGUAUCUUAUCGCGGAUUCGCGGCCCCGAUAAUAACUCUUUCCGUCAACUGUCCUCUCAAAUCACAAUCCGCCAUGGACGAACCUCGAAAGCAUCAGGUCUCGUUGCGAGGAGCGAGCGUGAAGGAGAUUUCCAGGGAUGCGCUUCUCGAGAAGGUGUCGCACCAGAGAGAGUUUAGGAGUUAUAUUCGAAAAUCCACUGCGGCUGCAGUGUUUAUUCAGAGAGUUUGGCGGCGAUACUCUGCCACAAAGUUGAUAGCCCUACAACUUCAGAAUCAGUGGGAGAUAUUGAUGGAUAAUCUUGCUGUUCCUUUAACUAAAAUACAGAUAUCUGGCAGUAUUUUGAGGCCUUUUAUUUUCUUCAUGUCAUUCUUGUUGAAUCGAGGGGCGAAAAAGCAAAAGAGAGACAAAGAUUGCAUGAAGACUUGCUUCAGAGUUGUUUUGGAAAGCAUAAACUCGACUAAUCUGGAUGAAAACUUUUGCUCCAUGGCAUUUGGAAAUGUUGAAGAAAGAAGAGUUUGGACUUACCAAUCAAAGAAGCUGAUUUCCCUUUGCUUGUUGGUUCUAGCAGAAUUUGAUAACUCCCGCCUAGGGGGUGAAGACAUUUUUGUUACAUCAUUAGCACUGCGUUUGGCAGUUGUUUUGACUGAUCUUAAAGGUUGGAAAUGCAUUAUUGAUGCUAAUAUCCAGGCUGCAAAUAUGUCAAUAAGAGACUUAGUUCAUUUCAUGGGAAGCAAGAAAAGUUGUUUGUACAGUUCUGUACGGAGAUACAUUUGUAAACUUCAAACGCCUGUUUCUUCUCAAGUGACUAGUUCUGGCCAGGCAGAUGAUCGAUUCUUGAUCAUUGCUAGUGCUACAACUUUGGCUUUGCGGCCAUUUCAUGUUGCAGGCUUAGUUGUAAACACUAAUUGCUUAGAGGAAGUGCAGAACGCUGCCGAGCAGUUUUGUAUUUUUCUACUUACAAUUCCUUGGUUUGCUCAAAAGUUACCGGCAGUGCUAAUACCAGCUCUGAGACAUAUGUCUGUUUUGUCAGCUUGUUUAAGGGUUCUGCUGAUGUCAAGGGAGGGAAUCUUAAAAGAAAUGUCUUGUGCUGUUAAGAUGACAACUACCCACCAAAACAGGGUGAUGCCACAGGUUGGUUGGGCUCUGUCAAACAUUAUAUACCUUGCUACUAUGUGUGAGAAGAAUGCAUUGGAUUCUGGAAAGUUUGCCCCUGGCUUAGACCAUGCAUCCUAUGUACAUGUUGUGAUUGCUCUGGCAGAGGACCUAUUGGCUUGGUUUGAAAAGGUUGGAUGGCUAAGAAAGGACCAAGAAGUCCUGGAUGAUUGUGGUACUUCUGCUGAAUCCCUUGAUAACUUUUUGCAUGAGGCUGAGACAACUGCUGGAUCCCUAAAGAUGUCAUAUUCGGACCUUCUUAAGCCUGUUUGUCAGCAGGGGCAUCUGAUGAAACUUGUAUCAUUUAACAAAGAUACUUUUGUUAAGAAGGAUGAUAAUCUGCCAGCAAUCAGCAUGGAGUCCCCUAGAUGUUGUGAAUUGCUUGAUGUUGCUUAUUAUUACUCAUGCAUGCUUAGAAUAUAUUCAGCUGUGAAUACAGUGCAUGGAGCAUUGCCAGUUCUGAAUAUGCUAUCUUUUACUCCUGGAUUUCUUUCUAAUUUGUGGGGUGCUCUAGAAAAACAAAUUUUCCCUGGAAAAGAUUAUGUUGCUGAGAGUGGUUCAAAUCAAAAUAAAGUUGGUGAAAGCAAUUUUCAUGAAGUGUCUACAGGAAAGCAAAAACAUUUUGCUAAAGACAGUGGCAGCAAAUGGGUUGAUGUAAUUCAGAAAAUCACAGGAAAAUCACAAACAGAAUCAAAAACUGCAACCAUGGCUGAUGGAAUUUCUGGUUCUAACUCAAUUGGUGAGCAUUGUUCUGAUAUCUGGGAUAUUGAACCACUAAGGAAGGGUCCUGAUGGCAUAUCAAAAGAUACUAAUUGUCUGCUUCAUCUCUUCUGUGCCAGCUAUUCACACCUGCUCUUAGUUCUUGAUGACAUUGAGUUUUAUGAGAGACAGGUCCCUUUUGUAUUGGAGCAGCAACGCAAAAUUGUGUCAGUUCUUAACACAUUGGUGUACAAUGCCUUGUCCCUCAAUAUUGGUGCUCAAAAUAGGCCACUAAUGGAUUUUGCUGUCAAAUGCCUGCAUUUGUUAUAUGAAAGAGAUUGCAGGCACCAGUUUUGUCCACCUGCUUUGUGGCUUUCACCAGGUAGAACAAAUCGCCCUCCAAUUGCUGUAGCUGCUAGGACUCAUGAUGUUUUGGCAGCUACAACAAAUGAUGUUUCAGCCUCUCUGACAAUUGAUUCUGUGAUUACAACUACACCACAUGUCUUCCCAUUUGAAGAGAGGGUUGAAAUGUUUAGAGAAUUUAUCAACAUGGAUAAAGUGUCUAGAAGAAUGGCUGGUGAGGUUGUAGGUCCAGGUCCACACUCAGUAGAAAUUGUUAUUCGCCGUGGUCAUGUUUUUGAAGAUGGAUUUCAACAAAUAAACAGCCUUGGGUCCAGACUAAAAUCUAACAUCCAUGUUUCUUUUGUAAAUGAAUCUGGUCUUCCUGAGGCUGGCUUGGACUAUGGUGGGUUAUCUAAGGAAUUCUUGACUGAAAUAGCAAAAGCAGCAUUCUCACCUGAGUGUGGUUUAUUCAUCCAGACUUCAACCUCAGACCGGCUUCUAAUUCCUAAUUCAGCUGCAAGGUUUUUAGAAAAUGGUUUCCAGAUGAUUGAGUUUCUGGGAAAAAUUGUUGGCAAGGCACUUUAUGAAGGAAUAUUGUUGGACUAUUCCUUUUCACAUGUUUUUGUGCAGAAGUUAUUGGGCCGUUAUAGCUUUCUUGAUGAAUUAUCAACACUUGACCCUGUUCUAUACAGAAAUCUCAUGUAUGUUAAGUCCAGCAUUAUGAGGGUGAUGCCAGAGAGCUCUCAUUGGAUUUCACAGUUACAGAAGAAUCACUUGGAAAGAGGCAUGUUAUUGAGCUUAAACCUGGAGGCAAGGAUGCCAGUGUGACAAAUGAUAACAAGCUGCAAUACAUUUAUGCAAUUGCAGACUAUAAACUUAAUCGGCAGAUACUUCCAUUCUCAAAUGCAUUUUACAGAGGAUUGACUGAAGUAAUAUCCCCCUCUUGGUUAAAGUUAUUCAAUGCAAGUGAAUUUAAUCAGUUGCUUUCAGGGGGAAACCACGAUAUUGAUGUUGAUGAUUUAAGGAAAAACACGCGGUAUACUGGGGGUUAUAGUGAAAGUAGUCGAGCAGUGAAACUUUUUUGGGAGGUUUUUGCAAAUUUUGAAGCAAGAGAACGGUGUUUGCUCCUUAAGUUUGUGACAAGUUGUUCUCGAGCCCCUUUGCUUGGGUUCAAAUAUUUGCAGCCAACCUUCACUAUUCAUAAGGUUUCAUGUGAUGUACCACUAUUGGCAGUACUUGGAGGACAGGAUGUUGAUCGGCUUCCAUCAGCUUCUACAUGCUAUAAUACAUUGAAGCUUCCAACAUACAAACGGUCGAGCACCUUGAGAGCAAAGCUUCUUUAUGCCAUCAAUUCAAAUGCUGGGUUUGAGCUUUCAUAGAAGGAAGAUGUUUUCAUUUCUUGUGGCUUUCUUUCUAUACACUACACAUAAUGUAUUUUUACCCGAGUGAUUGCCUGUUUUAUGUUUAUGUAUUAAUCAAAUAGCGGCCUGUCAUUAUCCAAAAUGCUUCUGUUUAAUCAAAAAGUUAUGUAUUUUUCUUAUA